UACGUAGGGUGCAAGCGUUGUCCGGAAUUAUUGGGCGUAAAGAGCUCGUAGGCGGUUUGUUGCGUCGGCUGUGAAAUCCCGAGGCUCAACCUCGGGUCUGCAGUCGAUACGAGCAAACUAGAGUGUUGCAGGGGAGACUGGAAUUCCUGGUGUAGCGGUGAAAUGCGCAGAUAUCAGGAGGAACACCGGUGGCGAAGGCGGGUCUCUGGGCCGUAACUGACGCUGGAGGAGCGAAAGCCGUGGGGAGCGAACAGG
rnacentral:rRNA from 1 species